AAUUUAAAUAGUUUAAUAAAAAUAUUGAUUUGUGGUGUCAAUGAUGAGAAUUUUUCUCUUUAAAUC
rnacentral:tRNA from 1 species